ensembl:lncRNA
UAGGCCUAUCUAGGGUGUGGAGUGGAUAUAGGUGGUGGAUAUAGGCCUAUCUAGGUGGUCGAGUGGAUAUAGGGGGUGGAUAUAGGCCUAUCUAGGCGUGGAGUGGAUAUAGGGGGUGGAUAUAGGUCUAUGUAGGGGUGGAGUGGAUAUAGGCCUAUCGAGGGUGUGGAGUGGAUAUAGGUGGUGGAUAUAGGCCUAUCUAGGAUGUGGAGUGGAUAUAGGGGGUGGAUAUAGGCCUAUCUAGGAUGUGGAGUGGAUAUAGGGGGUGGAUAUAGGCCUAUCUAGGGGGUGGAGUGGAUAUAGGGGGUGGAUAUAGGGAGUGGAUAUAGGUCUAUCUAGGGGGUGGGGUGGAUAUAGGGGGUGGAUAUAGGCCUGUCUAGGGGGUGGGGUGGAUAUAGGGAGUGGAUAUAGGCCUAUCUAGGGGGUGGGGUGGAUAUAGGGAGUGGAUAUAGGCCUAUCUAGUGGGUGGGGUGGAUAUAGGGAGUGGAUAUAGACCUAUCUAGGAGGUGGAUAUAGGCCUUGGGAUGAGUGGUGCUGUCUAGUGGUGGGCUGGAUAAAGGCCUUGGGAUGAGUGGUGCUGUCUAGUUGUGGGGUGGAUAAAGGCCUUGGGAUGAGUGGUGCUGUCUAGUGGUGGGGUGGAUAAAAGCCUUGGGAU